UUCCUGGUGGUCCAGUGGUUAAGAAUUGGCGCUUUCACUGCUGUGGGCCCAGGUUCAAUCCCUGGUCAGGGAA
rfam:Ovis aries breed Texel chromosome 13, whole genome shotgun sequence.